CUAUAUAAGUUUGGAACACCUCUGGUAGCUUUACUUUGGUCCGGUGCUGCUGUCCUUUAACCAGUCAUGAUCCUCCAGGCUGCUGCGCUCGGUGUCCUCUUCUGCUCUGUCCAGACUUUUACUAUACAGGGUCCUUUUGAAAAUGGCGAGGAGUACUCUGGCCACACGGUUGAGGAUGACGAGUUCAGUGUCUCCACGCUGUUAGAGAAGGCCAAUGUUAAUGUUGG